rnacentral:rRNA from 1 species
CUUUGUUUCUAUUUUGUUGGUUUGUGGGAAUGAGGUAAUGAUUAAUAGGGAUAGUUGGGGGCAUUAGUAUUCCGUAGUCAGAGGUGAAAUUCUUGGAUUUACGAAAGACUAACUUCUGCGAAAGCAUUUGCCAAGGAUGUUUUCAUUAAUCAAGAACGAAAGUCAGGGGAUCGAAGACGAUCAGAUACCGUCGUAGUCUUGACCAUAAACUAUGCCGACUAGGGAUCAGAUGAAGUUAUCUUAUUGACUCAUUUGGCACCUUAUGAGAAAUCAAAGUUUUUGGGUUCCGGGGGGAGUAUGGUCGCAAGGCUGAAACUUAAAGGAAUUGACGGAAGGGCACCACCAGGAGUGGAGCCUGCGGCUUAAUUUGACUCAACACGGGGAAACUCACCAGGUCCAGA